GAGUUUGAUCUUGGCUCAGGAUGAACGCUGGCGGCGUGCCUAACACAUGCAAGUCGAACGGAUCCAUAUUGAAACCUAGUGAUGUAUGGAUUAGUGGCGGACGGGUGAGUAACGCGUGGAUAACCUGCCGUAUACAGGGGAUAACGACUUAGAAAUAGGUGCUAAUACCGCAUAAGCGCACGGUUCCGCAUGGAACAGUGUGAAAAACUCCGGUGGUAUACGAAUGGAUCCGCGUCUGAUUAGCCAGUUGGCGGGGUAACGGCCACCAAAGCGACGGAUCAGUAGCCGGCCUGAGAGGGUGAACGGCCACAUUGGGACU
rnacentral:rRNA from 1 species